rnacentral:tRNA from 1 species
GGCCAGGUAGCUCAGUUGGUACGAGCGUCCGCCUGAAAAGCGGAAGGUCGACGGUUCGAUCCCGUCCCUGGCCACCA